GGUCUUUUAGUAUAAGGGUCGUACAACAACCCUUCAAGUUGUUAGUGCCAGUUCGAAUCUGGUAAAGACUA
rnacentral:tRNA from 1 species